UUCCCUAGUAGCGGCGAGCGAAGCGGGAAGAGCUCAAAUUUAUAAUCUGGCACCUUCGGUGUCCGAGUUGUAAUCUCUAGAAGUGUUUUCCGCGUUGGACCGCACACAAGUCUGUUGGAAUACAGCGGCAUAGUGGUGAAACCCCCGUAUAUGGUGCGGACGCCCAGCGCUUUGUGAUACACUUUCAAUGAGUCGAGUUGUUUGGGAAUGCAGCUCAAAUUGGGUGGUAAAUUCCAUCUAAAGCUAAAUAUUGGCGAGAGACCGAUAGCGAACAAGUACCGUGAGGGAAAGAUGAAAAGCACUUUGGAAAGAGAGUUAACAGUACGUGAAAUUGUUGGAAGGGAAACGCUUGAAGUCAGACUUGCUUGCCGGAGCUUGCUUCGGUUUGCAGGCCAGCAUCAGUUUUCCGGGGUGGAUAAUGACGGUUUGAAGGUAGCAGUCUCGGCUGUGUUAUAGCUUUCCGUUGGAUACAUCCUGGGGGACUGAGGAACGCAGCGUGCUUUUUGCGAAAGACUCGUCUUUUUCACGCUUAGGAUGCUGGUGGAAUGGCUUUAAACGACCCGUCUUGAAACACGGACCA
rnacentral:rRNA from 1 species